UAAUGGUUGUGGGUCUUGUAGUUGGCAAUAAUAGUUUUUUCGCCCUACAAUCUCUUUCACGGAGGCGGUCCCUGAUUAUGGUGAGCAAGCUUGCACUUGGAUUCUAUCUAAGGAGCGAGAAGCCUAAAAUAAUUACUUACUGCAACCACCUGUCAAAUGGCGGGCGGAAGACUCCAAUUUGACAGCUCCUGACCCUCUU
rnacentral:other from 2 species